UGGGGAAUAUUGGGCAAUGGACGCAAGUCUGACCCAGCAACGCCGCGUGAAGGAAGAAGGCUUUCGGGUUGUAAACUUCUUUUGUCAGGGAACAGUAGAAGAGGGUACCUGACGAAUAAGCCACGGCUAACUACGUGCCAGCAGCCGCGGUAAUACGUAGGUGGCAAGCGUUGUCCGGAUUUACUGGGUGUAAAGGGCGUGCAGCCGGGCUGGCAAGUCAGGCGUGAAAUCCCAGGGCUCAACCCUGGAACUGCGUUUGAAACUGCUGGUCUUGAGUACCGGAGAGGUCAUCGGAAUUCCUUGUGUAGCGGUGAAAUGCGUAGAUAUAAGGAAGAACACCAGUGGCGAAGGCGGAUGACUGGACGGCAACUGACGGUGAGGCGCGAAAGCGUGGGGAGCAAACAGGAUUAGAUACCC
rnacentral:rRNA from 1 species